AACAUCGCGCACCUGCGGGAACCUGCGGAGGGAUCAUUAAUGAUUGGUGGCUGUUGCUGACUAGUGUUUCUAGUAUGUGCACGCCACACCUUCAGUCCCACUUACACCUGUGCACCUUCUGUAAUAGAUCUAUGUGGAUACGGAGAUAUGAAAGUUUGCGCUCUCGUACUCUGUUGAAGCAGUCUACUACGUUUUUUUACACACACACAAUAGUCAUUGAAUGUAUUUUUUAUUCUUAUG
rnacentral:misc_RNA from 1 species